rnacentral:misc_RNA from 1 species
GUGCAUCAUCAGAAAGUCGAAUGGCACUGGUGCACGCCUUCGCGCCUCUUGUCUCCUUUAUUCUCUGUGCUUGUGAAUGCAUGCCACGCGGGUUUGCCUGCACCGCAUGUUCCCUUGCCUAGUCCAGGUGCAGCCAGGAAAGUAUCUGCUUACCGUGCACGCCAAACCCAGCGCACGCGCAUCUGCGUUUGCUGCACCCUUGACACCGGCGCUGACAGAGGCCGACUUGCGCAUUGCGGCCCCACCGGUGGAAGGGCAAGCGAACGCGGAGCUCCUCCGCUACCUCGGCGAGCUGAUUGAGCGCGGCUUCCGUGCGAUGACGGCAGAUUAUGCUGAGUACGUGAAAGGCACUUCCUAUGCGACGGUGCUAGCGGCAGAUGCAGCUGCCAGUGCAACUGCAGCCCAGCUCGCCAAGAGCAGGAGCGGCGGAGACAAGAAAUCGGGAAAAAAGGGAAAGUCGAGGAACGUGGCAGCGGCCAGCUUUGCCUCGUCGUCGAUGCCACACAGUGGUGCUGGUGGCGCACAGCAGCCGGAGGAGUCGAACACCCCGCCCUCCGCGACGGCAUUUUCUGAUCGCAUCGAAGUCAGUCUAGUGCGCGGCGGCACGUCGCGUGCGAAGACGGUGCUGGUCAUGUUCCCUGGCACCCGUGCUCAACUGACAGCCGUGCUGGAGAAGGAGUCUCGGGAGUGAAGCGCGGAUCCUCUGAUCGCAUCUGCGGAGAGGCAUCUCUCUUCUGUGUGCGCGUGCGCAUGUGGUUACUCUGCCUCAGUUGGGGCUGCACCGAAAGCUGCCCCUUUAUCUCGCCGCGUCCAUGUACUCGCAUACACCGCCGCUCCCUCGUCCCCUCGUCGCCGUCAUGCCAGCAUGCGCGCGCAGGAAACGUCGCCGGGGCUGCCGUGGAGGCGAAAGAGGGAGGAAAAGAGGGGUGUUGGGCACCACGAGGCGUUCCGCUCGUGGAGCGCACAAAGCGAAUGCAAAACAGAACAUCCACCGAAGGGACGAUCAUGUCCAAGCGCGUCCCAAUCGUACGGGGACGCUCCAACACAGGCGGUCGAGCUCACGAAUUGAAUGCGCGAGUACGCUGGCGACGUGUGUGUGGGGGGGAUCACUGAGUGCGAUACUCGUGCUCGAGGGAUGCGUGGGAGUUGCACGCCCCCUCUCCGCCCCGAACCUCUCUACACUCCCUUGCUCGAGUUCGCUCGCUGGCCUCUCGGCCGCACCUCUAUGUCUGUUUCAUCCCGCUCUCUUCUUCAUCCUUUCGCUAAUCGUCUGAACUCGUCGCGCUCGGCAUCACGUGUGCGGGCGUGCAUCCCACACCUCCGCCAAACCUACCCGCUCUUUAAACACACACACACGCAAAUGCGUGCGCCAACACGCACUAG